rnacentral:rRNA from 1 species
UGGGGAAUAUUGCACAAUGGGCGAAAGCCUGAUGCAGCAACGCCGCGUGAGUGAUGAAGGCCUUCGGGUUGUAAAGCUCUGUCUUUUGGGACGAUAAUGGACGGUACCAAAGGAGGAAGCCACGGCUAACUACGUGCCAGCAGCCGCGGUAAUACGUAGGUGGCAAGCGUUGUCCGGAUUUACUGGGCGUAAAGGAUGCGUAGGCGGAUUUUUAAGUGAGAUGUGAAAACCCCUAAGCUUAACUUGGGGACUGCAUUUCAUACUGGAAAUCUAGAGUGCGGGAGAGGAGAAUGGAAUUCCUAGUGUAGCGGUGAAAUGCGUAGAGAUUAGGAAGAACACCAGUGGCGAAGGCGAUUCUCUGGACCGUAACUGACGCUGAGGCAUGAAAGCGUGGGUAGCAAACAGGAUUAGAUACCCUGGUAGUCCACGCCGUAAACGAUGAGUACUAGUGUAGGAGGUAUCGACCCCUUCUGUGCCGCAGUUAACACAAUAAGUACUCCGCCUGGGAAGUACGAUCGCAAGAUUAAAACUCAAAUGAA